CCCUCGAUUCCCGAACACAUAGCCAUUGUCUCCCGGCAGAGGUGGCGUGGAGAGUUUUAAUAAGGCAGGAGGCAGGGUGAAAUCGAUAGCUUGCACCUCCGAGUUUAGGCUCGAGCCCUGCUCGGUGUCGGCAGAUGGUGCUGGAGAAACAGGAUUCCCCUGGAAUCCGUCUGUUUUCGGAGCCGUGCUCUCUGCCAUGAGGCCGGACAGGAAAGUGCUGUAGACACACACAGGCAGCUUGCAUGGAUGGGGGACAAGGUCUCACCCGAAAUAGAACGAGGACAGCAGAUUCCUCCCUGGAGAGAGUGUCUGUGCGUGUGUGUGUGUGUGUGUGUGUGUGUGCGUGCACCGCACUCCUCUUCAGCGUGUUUUUUUCUGUGAUUAAAACAAGAGGUGAUUUCAAUUCUGAAAACGACCCGAGCCCCCACUGUGAACCUGGCCGUGGCCCUGGGUGAAAGCCACGGUCACCAUGGCGGUGCUGUCUUCUCCCCUGCAGACAUCCAGGACAAAGAAGACACACAACUUAGGAAGGAAAGGCUUUUGGAGCAAGCUCGUCGGCUCUAAAUGUCAGCGCCUAUCGGGCCACCAAUGUACAUCUGUCCAUCUUUAAGGCUUUCAGCUAAGGGGAAACACUGAAGAAAGCAUGCCAAAUUAUCUUCCAAGAUCUCUGUGUCCUUGGGGAUAACUAAGAAGUAACUAGUGGGGGAAACUGUUUCUUUCUGGAUGCUGACAAGCAAAAGUGGAAAGCAAUUUGGAGAAAACUUUGCCUGCAACAAACGUGGUGUAAAAGCAAGAAAAGACUGUGAACGAGGAGCAACCUGAAAAACCGGAUUGUUACACACAUGAAGUCACCAAUCAAAAAAAAAAAUCCUGAAAUGGCUCAUUGCUUUGGUACACUAUCCUUAAUUAAAAAUCCAUUGUCUGAAAGCUAGAAGUAUUAGGAAAAAAUACCGAUAUGUGAAAACAGAUUUGUGGGCUUAGGUCUCUAUUGUUGCCUACCUAUUGAGACGUCUGCAAAAAAGUUUUUUCCCCCCCAACCUUUCUGCUUUCCUUAUUCUUAAAUGUUCAAAGUGAUUUGCAUUUUCUGGAAUAUUCACCUAAUCACUGACAUCCUCACUUAAAAGGAAAUCAGACUACUUUGGGGCUGUGCUGUUGCUCACUGUAAAUCCUAACUGUGUUAGG